GACGAACGCUGGCGGCGUGCUUAACACAUGCAAGUCGAACGGAAAGGCCCUGCUUUUGUGGGGUGCUCGAGUGGCGAACGGGUGAGUAACACGUGAGUAACCUGCCCUUGACUUUGGGAUAACUUCAGGAAACUGGGGCUAAUACCGGAUAGGAGCUCCUGCUGCAUGGUGGGGGUUGGAAAGUUUCGGCGGUUGGGGCUGGACUCGCGGCUUAUGCGCUUGUUGGUGGGGUAGUGGCUUACCAAGGCUUUGACGGGUAGCCGGCCUGAGAGGGUGACCGGCCACAUUGGGACUGAGAUACGGACCAGACUCCUACGGGAGGCAGCAGGGGGGAAUAUGGCACAAUGGGCGGAAGCCUGAUGCAGCAACGCCGCGUGCGGGAUGACGGCCUUCGGGUUGUAAACCGCUUUCGCCUGUGACGAAGCGUGAGUGACGGUAAUGGGUAAAGAAGCACCGGCUAACUACGUG
rnacentral:rRNA from 1 species